ACUAAAUUUGCUGCUGUGUCGCUGCAGACACAGCAGUGUACUGCAUGCACCAAGACCGCGUGUAGUACUGUACCGCAUGUGGUACUGCAUGUGGUACUGCCUACGGUACGCUCUUGUAUAGAGGCAAAUGGAUAGAUGGCUUUUCAGAAUUCUACAGAGAUUUCUGUUGACAAUUUUCUAGUUUUACUGGAGUUUUACCUGUGCUCAACUUUGGUUCUUUGGCAGUGAUGUGUACAUCCAGCAAAAGGGAAUUUGUAUUGGAUCAUGUGUUGCCCCUGUUCUUUGUAAUAUUGUUUUAGCUUCCAUUGACCGCGACUUGAAUAACCUUUUAGACACCAAGAAAGUACUAUGAGUUUUUAGAUAUGUAGAUGACUUUCUCAUGAUUUUAAACACUAAUCCCUUCCAGACGAGUACCUGUGUUGUCUAUGAAAUUUUGAGCCUCUUUAGACUCCAUGGAAAAGGCUUAGUCUUUACUCAUGAACUUCCAGAGAACGACACCUUGCAGUUUUUAUAGAUAUUAACAUGUUUUUUUAGUGGGCUGCACAUUUGCUGGAAAUACUCUCCGCGAGCUAGUAAAGAACUCUUGCCAUGUGAUUCAGCACAUGGUAAGGUGGUAAAACGAACGAUCGCAACACAAUGUCUUGAGUCAGUGCUGGAAGUCUUGUGCUCAUUUGGCUCAGGAUAGCUUCAAUUGCCAGAUUGAGCGCCUACAGGUGGCUGGCUUCCCUAACUCGAUGUUGACAGCUGUGUCCGAGACCCUCCUUCAGAAAUUGAACGGUAAGAAAGUACCUCGGCAGGUUCUACGAACAAGAAAGCCGGAAGUGGUGCCCUACGUUCACAGGGUUACACACAACCUGAAGAAUGUGGCAAAAAGGCAUGACCUGCCUAUUGGGUUUUCUGUGCCACGCAAACUUGCUGGGUUGUGCCCACGCAUUUUGGGACCUCCGAGGAAACCUGCCCAUGGAAAGAAGCAUAUCAUGCCAUACGACACAUGCGCCGCUGGCGUUGUGUACGAGAUUCCACUUAAGUGUGGAAAUAUGUGCUUCGGUCCCCACCUGCGGCAAGUUGUUUUUUCAUCCACUUUCAUUUCCAUUAAUUUAUCGUUUCCUUAAUUCAUUUAUUAAGCACCAGUAAUUUCCCAUAUGUUGUCCUUGGUGUCAGUGUUUGUUGGCUUCUUAUGACUAAUAAAAAAUCGGGCCCCUCGGUUAAUCCCCUUCCUUCUCGUUUAAGUGUGGAAAGGUAUAUAUAGGACAAACCGGCCGAUGUGUCAGUGAUCGGGCACAGGAACACGAGUGAUUUGUAGCUAACAAAGCUUUUCAUUUGCCUAUGCAUUGUAGGUCCUGUCUCUGUGAGCCUAUUCUUCUGGUAUUCGAAUUCUAGGCAGGAGUGGCAAUGCUUUGGCCAUAGAAAUCAUGGAGGCAUAUCAUAUUAGAAGAAGAAAAAAGUGCCUGUAUUAGCGGUACGUUGGUUGUUUUGCAUAGCAAAGAAAAGCAGUUUUUAGAAAUGAUGCUGUAAUCUAUACGCUUCUUGAUAUGAUGCACUGGUUGGCUUGAUGGGCAGUGUGCUUGCACAAUCCUGGUCUGCUGUGUAUUUAAGUAGGCGAAAUCUUGACAAUAAAAUUUAGUUGCAAGUUAGCACUUGUUCUUUGCUUUUGUGUCUUUCUUUUGUCCCGCUUUGGAACUGCGCCUACCAGUAUUCAGUUGUUAAGCUCUCGAGUACGAACAAAAGGUUAGCUUUAACAAGACAAGUGUACGCCUCACUACUGAGCUGGGUCCACCGAUCCUUCCUCUCUCUGCCGACUCCACCAUGAGUCGUACAGUGCAACUUGCCUUGCCACCGAACCCAGCUGCCCCUUCUGCCUCCCCCAGAGUGUCGCCCGUGGUGUUCUUCUCCUGCGUUGCCCUGCCAAAGCUGCACAUCCUGAACUUUUCUUGGGAGCAGUAUGAACGGCACAGCUUUUAGGACCAGUACCAGGCAAGCAUUCAUGGCGAUGAAUUGCUAUCCAAGACAGACAAAUUUAAACAUCUGCCAACGUACCUAUCCAGGUCAGCUAAAAUGGCAAUUCAAGGUAUCCACCUUGCCGAGGCAAACUACAAUGUCGCCAUCAAGGUGCCGUCUGACUGGUUUGGCUGUCGCGACAUGCUAAUCGAUGAAGCACACUGUUAAGAACGGCCAGCUGCAGUGCAAAGUUUUGCCAACCCGUUGCAACAGUGGAGGCAACAUCCCGGGAGCAUCGCUGCCAAACUCUAGCCACGGCGUGACUAAAUCGACUUUGUGUCGGGGAACAAUACGCGCAUCCCCCACUCUCCGUCGCUUCAGCUAGGAUGCGUUCGAUGAAGCAGGCUUUGUGCUGAAACCGCCGCCAACCUCUAGCCUCAUUGCCGUUGUGACGGAAUGAGUUCGGCGGGCCAACUAUUGUUACCAAACUCCCCAACGCGGACCUGAUCUGCUACGGGUGUGCGAGUUGCCGUGGGAACGCCGUUUUGCACUCCUUCCCACGCACAGACCAAGACGCAAGACAACGCACUACCCGGAACGGCUCCCGAGUUCUACGAAGCCCCUCUGACGUCGGCUCCGGACCAUCGCCCUGUGUGUAUGCGUGUGUGUGUGUAAACCGUGCCGCGGAGAGGCGGCUACUUUGCGAUGACUAAACGAACAUUCGCAUCACCUUGUAUCGGGAGAGGACCGAGUGUUUAAAAACCGCUGUUGUGCGGCUGCUCAGGACACUCUCUCUCAAGCAGUCAUGUUAGACUGAUGUACUUUCUCAAACAGUCAUGUUAGACUGAUAUAAAUACUGUAAAUAAACCCAUAUCCCUCGUUCUCGAUGAGAAGCAGUCCUUCCCUUCAUCAACGUCCUCAGCGUGGAUAAGUUGGACGACGGCAUGGGCCAGCUACCUUCUAAUUCAUGCCCAACUCCAAUCUUGACAAUGGAUCACGAGCGAUGGGGUUGAGCCCCCAAUCCUGACAACACUUACGGAAUGGCUGGCGACCUUUGCAUCAACUUUCAGCAUUAUGUGACCCUACACGAAACAAAAAAAGAAGCAUGUACGUGCUGUGCCAAAACUUACUGAAGCACAUGUUUCCCCAGACAACCUGCGCAAAAUGAGCAUCAGGCUGGUUACACAGCUUUUUAGCCAUGGAACAUCAAUUGGAAUACAUGUGUACAGGGAAGCAAAUGCCCCUGGCUUGACUCUGAAGGGACUGAAAUAAACCUUCACAAGAAUGCUGAACGAUGUUCCCGAUGCACUCAACGUCAAGCUUCCAUGCAGGGGAUCAGGCAUCACUCCAAAGAA